rnacentral:rRNA from 1 species
CAGCCGCCACGGUAAUACGAAGGGGGCUAGCGUUGCUCGGAAUGACUGGGCGUAAAGGGCGCGUAGGCGGCGAUCAAAGUCAGGCGUGAAAUUCCUGGGCUCAACCUGGGGGCUGCGUUUGAUACUUGAUUGCUAGAGUGGGGAAGAGGGUCGUGGAAUUCCCAGUGUAGGGGUGAAAUUCGUAGAUAUUGGGAAGAACACCGGUGGCGAAGGCGGCGACCUGGUCCUUGACUGACGCUGAGGCGCGAAAGCGUGGGGAGCAAACAGGAUUAGAUACCCGCGUAGUCCCUGUCUCUUAUAC